GAUGGCUCAGUGGUAGAGUGCUUGCCUUGCAUGCAUGAGGUCCUGGGUUCAAUUCCUCAGCAUCA
rnacentral:tRNA from 1 species